rnacentral:rRNA from 1 species
GGGGAAUUUUGGACAAUGGGCGCAAGCCUGAUCCAGCAAUGCCGCGUGCAGGAAGAAGGCCUUCGGGUUGUAAACUGCUUUUGUCAGGGAAGAAAUCUUCUGGGUUAAUACCUCGGGAGGAUGACGGUACCUGAAGAAUAAGCACCGGCUAACUACGUGCCAGCAGCCGCGGUAAUACGUAGGGUGCGAGCGUUAAUCGGAAUUACUGGGCGUAAAGCGUGCGCAGGCGGCUUUGCAAGACAGAGGUGAAAUCCCCGGGCUCAACCUGGGAACUGCCUUUGUGACUGAAAGGCUAGAGUACGGCAGAGGGGGAUGGAAUUCCGCGUGUAGCAGUGAAAUGCGUAGAUAUAGGAAGGAACACCAGUGGCGAAGGCGACCACCUGGACUGAUACUGACGCUCAUGCACGAACGCGUGGGGAGCAAACA